rnacentral:rRNA from 3 species
GGUUAAGCGACUAAGCGUACACGGUGGAUGCCCUGGCAGUCAGAGGCGAUGAAGGACGUGCUAAUCUGCGAUAAGCGCCGGUAAGGUGAUAUGAACCGUUAUAACCGGCGAUUUCCGAAUGGGGAAACCCAGUGUGAUUCGUCACACUAUCAUUAACUGAAUCCAUAGGUUAAUGAGGCGAACCGGGGGAACUGAAACAUCUAAGUACCCCGAGGAAAAGAAAUCAACCGAGAUUCCCCCAGUAGCGGCGAGCGAACGGGGAGGAGCCCAGAGCCUGAAUCAGCAUGUGUGUUAGUGGAAGCGUCUGGAAAGGUGCGCGAUACAGGGUGACAGCCCCGUACACAAAAGCGCAUGUGCUGUGAGCUCGAUGAGUAGGGCGGGACACGUGGUAUCCUGUCUGAAUAUGGGGGGACCAUCCUCCAAGGCUAAAUACUCCUGACUGACCGAUAGUGAACCAGUACCGUGAGGGAAAGGCGAAAAGAACCCCGGCGAGGGGAGUGAAAAAGAACCUGAAACCGUGUACGUACAAGCAGUGGGAGCACAGGUUUACCUGUGUGACUGCGUACCUUUUGUAUAAUGGGUCAGCGACUUAUAUUCUGUAGCAAGGUUAACCGUAUAGGGGAGCCGUAGGGAAACCGAGUCUUAAC